AUUGUACGCUGGCGGCAUGCUUUACACAUGCAAGUCGGACGAGUGGCGAACGGGUGAGUAAAGCAUCGGAACGUACCGAGUAAUGGGGGAUAACUGUCCGAAAGGACAGCUAAUACCGCAUAUUAUUCGAGCGGCCGAUGUCUGAUUAGCUGGUUGGCGGGGUAAAGGGCAACCAAGGCGACGAUCAGUAGCGGGUCUGAGAGGAUGAUCCGCCCAACUGGGACUUAGAGACGGCCCGGAUUCCCACGAGAGGAAGUAGUGGGGAAUUUUGGACAAAUGGCGAAAGCCUGAUCCAGCCAUGCCGCGUGUCUGAAGAAGGCCUUCGUGUUGUAAAGGACUUUUGUCAGGGAAGCGGUACCUGAAGAAUAAGCACCGGCUAACUACGUGCCAGCAGCCGCGGUAAUAC
rnacentral:rRNA from 1 species